GCUGUGAUGGCCGAGUGGUAAAGGCGUUGGACUCGAAAUCCAAUGGGGUCUUCCCGCGCCGGGAUCGAACCCUGCUCGCAGCG
rnacentral:tRNA from 1 species